AUUGAACGCUGGCGGCAGGCCUAACACAUGCAAGUCGAGCGGAUGAAGGGAGCUUGCUCCUGGAUUCAGCGGCGGACGGGUGAGUAAUGCCUAGGAAUCUGCCUGGUAGUGGGGGAUAACGUCCGGAAACGGGCGCUAAUACCGCAUACGUCCUGAGGGAGAAAGUGGGGGAUCUUCGGACCUCACGCUAUCAGAUGAGCCUAGGUCGGAUUAGCUAGUUGGUGGGGUAAAGGCCUACCAAGGCGACGAUCCGUAACUGGUCUGAGAGGAUGAUCAGUCACACUGGAACUGAGACACGGUCCAGACUCCUACGGGAGGCAGCAGUGGGGAAUAUUGGACAAGGGGCGAAAGCCUGAUCCAGCCAUGCCGCGUGUGUGAAGAAGGUCUUCGGAUUGUAAAGCACUUUAAGUUGGGAGGAAGGGCAGUAAGUUAAUACCUUGCUGUUUUGACGUGACCAACAGAAUAAGCACCGGCUAAAUUCGUGC
rnacentral:rRNA from 1 species